GACGAACGCUGGCGGCGUGGAUUAGGCAUGCAAGUCGGACGGUAGGGCUUUAUCGUAAGAUAGAGUUUGAGAGUGGCGAAUGGGUGAGUAACACGUAGGAAUCUACCCUUAAGACGGGGACAACCCAGGGAAACUUGGGCUAAUACCGGAUGAGAGUGCGAGAGAUUGCAUUUAAAAGGAUGGCGAAAGUUAUCGCUUAGGGAUGAGCCUGCGGUCUAUUAGUUAGUUGGUGGGGUAAGAGCUCACCAAGGCGAUGAUAGAUAGGCGGCCUUAACGGGUGGUCGCCCACACUGGGAUUGAGAUACGGCCCAGACUCCUACGGGAGGCAGCAGUCGAGAAUAGUCUACAAUGGCCGGAAGGCUGAUAGUGCGACGCCGCGUGAACGAGGGAGCCUCGGGUGUAAGUUACUUUCUAUACGAGCAGUGCUAUAUAUAUGGAUAGUAUAUAUAGAGGGAUAGUAGUAUAGGAAUAAGCAACGGCGUAACUCCGUGCCAGCAGCCGAC
rnacentral:rRNA from 1 species